UACGUAGGUGGCAAGCGUUGUCCGGAAUUAUUGGGCGUAAAGCGCGCGCAGGCGGUUUUUUAAGUCUGAUGUGAAAGCCCACGGCUCAACCGUGGAGGGUCAUUGGAAACUGGGGAACUUGAGUACAGAAGAGGAAAGCGGAAUUCCACGUGUAGCGGUGAAAUGCGUAGAGAUGUGGAGGAACACCAGUGGCGAAGGCGGCUUUCUGGUCUGUAACUGACGCUGAGGCGCGAAAGCGUGGGGAGCAAACAGG
rnacentral:rRNA from 1 species